rnacentral:pre_miRNA from 1 species
UAUGACACUGGGACGGUUAGGAACCGAACACAGCUGUGUUUCCUAAACGCAGCAGUGUCGUAAA